rnacentral:precursor_RNA from 1 species
CUCGGGCGCGGGUGCCGCGCGUCCUCGUACCGCGCGGCCCCCGUGACCCGGGAU